CCUACGGGAGGCAGCAGUGAGGAAUAUUGGUCAAUGGGCGAAAGCCUGAACCAGCCAUGCCGCGUGAAGGAUGAAGGCCCUCAGGGUUGUAAACUUCUUUUGUACGGGACGAAACCCUUGAACGUGUUCGAGGCUGACGGUACCGUACGAAUAAGCAACGGCUAACUCCGUGCCAGCAGCCGCGGUAAUACGGAGGUUGCAAGCGUUAUCCGGAUUCAUUGGGUUUAAAGGGUGCGUAGGCGGGACGGUAAGUCAGGGGUAAAAGCUUGCAGCUUAACUGUAGAAUUGCCAUUGAUACUGCUGUUCUUGAGUGCAGCUGAGGUGGGCGAAAUGUGUAGUGUAGGGGUGAAAUGCUUAGAUAUUACACAGAACACCGAUGGCGAAGGCAGCUCACUAAACUGUAACUGACGCUGAGGCACGAAAGCGUGGGGAGCAAACAGGAUUAGAUACCCGGGUAGU
rnacentral:rRNA from 1 species